rnacentral:rRNA from 1 species
GAUGAACGCUGGCGGCGUGCCUAAUACAUGCAAGUCGAGCGAACAGAUGAGGAGCUUGCUCCUCUGACUUUAGCGGCGGACGGGUGAGUAACACGUGGAUAACCUACCUAUAAGACUGUGAUAACUUCGGGAAACCGGAGCUAAUACCGGAUAAUAUAUUGAACCUCAUGGUUCAAUAGUGAAAGACGGUUUUGCUGUCACUUAUAGAUGGAUCCGCGCCGCAUUAGCUAGUUGGUAAGGUAACGGCUUACCAACGCAACGAUGCGUAGCCGACCUGAGAGGGUCAUUGCCCACAUUGGAACUGAGACACAUCCCAGACUCUGACGGGGGGCCGCAGUAGGGACUCCUCCGCAAGGGAGGAAAGCGUAACGGUGCACCGUCGCGUGAGUCAUGAACGUCUUCGGAUCGUAAAACUAUGUUAUCCGUGAGGAACAAAAGUGUAAGUAACUAUGAACGUCUUGACGGUACCUAAUCAGAAAGCCACGGCUAACUACGUG